GUUGUAAACCUCUUUUAGUAGGGAAGAAGCGAAAGUGACGGUACCUGCAGAAAAAGCACCGGCUAACUACGUGCCAGCAGCCGCGGUAAUACGUAGGGUGCAAGCGUUGUCCGGAAUUAUUGGGCGUAAAGAGCUCGUAGGCGGUUUGUCGCGUCUGCUGUGAAAUCUGGGGGCUCAACCCCCAGCCUGCAGUGGGUACGGGCAGACUAGAGUGCGGUAGGGGAGAUUGGAAUUCCUGGUGUAGCGGUGGAAUGCGCAGAUAUCAGGAGGAACACCGAUGGCGAAGGCAGAUCUCUGGGCCGUAACUGACGCUGAGGAGCGAAAGCAUGGGGAGCGAACAGGAUUAGAUACCCUGGUAGUCCAUGCCGUAAACGUUGGGAACUAGAUGUGGGGGCCAUUCCACGGUCUCCGUGUCGCAGCUAACGCAUUAAGUUCCCCGCCUGGGGAGUACGGCCGCAAGGCUAAAACUCAAAGGAAUUGACGGGGGCCCGCACAAGCGGCGGAGCAUGCGGAUUAAUUCGAUGCAACGCGAAGAACCUUACCAAGGCUUGACAUAUACCGGAAACGUCCAGAGAUGGUCGCCCCGCAAGG
rnacentral:rRNA from 1 species